GACGAACGCUGGCGGCGUGCUUAACACAUGCAAGUCGAACGGAAAGGCCCUGCUUUUGUGGGGUGCUCGAGUGGCGAACGGGUGAGUAACACGUGAGUAACCUGCCCUUGACUUUGGGAUAACUUCAGGAAACUGGGGCUAAUACCGCAUAGGAGCUCCUGCUGCAUGGUGGGGGUUGGAAAGUUUCGGCGGUUGGGGAUGGACUCGCGGCUUAUCAGCUUGUUGGUGGGGUAGUGGCUUACCAAGGCUUUGACGGGUAGCCGGCCUGAGAGGGUGACCGGCCACAUUGGGACUGAGAUACGACCCAGACGCCAACGGGAGGCAGGAGUGGGGAAUAGUGCACAAAGGGCGGAAGGCUGAUGCAGCAACGCCGCGUGCGGGAUGACGGCCUUCGGGGUGUAAACCGCUUUCGCCUGUGACGAAGCGUGAGUGACGGUAAUGGGUAAAGAAGCACCGGCUAACUACGUG
rnacentral:rRNA from 1 species